rnacentral:piRNA from 1 species
UUGAGGGCUUUCGGCUCCGGUGGA